GGAACAGGGUGCUGUUUGGGACUGGGGAACAGGGUGCUGUUUGGGACUGGGGAACAGGGUGCUGUUUGGGACUGGGGAACAGGGUGCUGUUUGGGACUGGGGAACAGGGUGCUGUUUGGGACUGGGGAAAAGGGUGCUGCUUGGGACUGGGGAACAGGGUCCUGUUUAGAAGAUAGAUUUGGCUGAGCUAAAAGUAAACCAAAUUAUGAUUGGUAAUUUUAUUUUGACACGAUUCAGUAUAUUUGUCCAUGAUAUGUUUUGUUGUAGAUAUACAGCAAUAACGGGUUACCUGCCUGUCUGGUUACCUGCCUGUCUGGUUACCUUCCUGUCUGGUUACCUACCUGUCUGGUUACCUACCUGUCUGGUUACCUGCCUGUCUGGUUACCUGCCUGUCUGGUUACCUGCCUGUCUGGUUACCUGCCUGUCUGGUUACCUGCCUGUCUGGUUACCUACCUGUCUGGUUACCUGCCUGUCUGGUUACCUGCCUGUCUGGUUACCUGCCUGUCUGGUUACCUACCUGUCUGGUUACCUGCCUGUCUGGUUACCUACCUGUCUGGUUACCUGCCUGUCUGGUUACCUGCCUGUCUGGUUACCUGGAUGUAAAGUGUCACUUUAUGUGUAUCAAAAACCAUAAACCCUCCACCCACCAUAUAUAUAUAUAUACACACACACCAUCAGAUCAAGAUACUCAACUCACUGUAGAUAUUGGAUCAUGAAGGAGAUUUUUGUACCAGUUGUUUCACUCCUCGUCAACAACAACAUUGUCGUAUUACAUGUAGCCUAAAAUGUAUAGUUUACUUUUAACUCCACUUAGAAAGAUAACAAACAUGCUUCUUGACUUUUUCAUUGUUUCAUUUUUAUAGAAUCUUUGAUAAACAAUGAUUAAACGACAAACAGAACAAUGGCGUUUGUGUUUUAUUUUUCUGAAUCCUGAAGUUGUUACCCUCAGUGUUAAUCCCUCAGUAACCAGGUUGUGUUAAUCCCUCGUAAACAGGUUGUUGAUCCCUCAGUAACCAGGUUGUGUUAAUCCCUCGUAAACAGGUUGUUAAUCCCUCAGUAAACAGGUUGUGUUAAUCCGACAGUAAACAAGUUGUUAAUCCCUCGUAAACAGGUUGUUAAUCCCUCAGUAAACAGGUUGUUAAUCCCUCAGUAAACAGGUUGUUAAUCCCUCAGUAAACAGGUUGUUAAUCCCUCGUAAACAGGUUGUUAAUCCCUCAGUAAACAGGUUGUGUUAAUCCGUCAGUAAACAGGUUGUGUUAAUCCCUCGUAAACAGGUUGUUAAUCCCUCAGUAAACAGGUUGUUAAUCCCUCAGUAAACAGGUUGUUAAUCCCUCAGAGGGCAAAGGGCAGGACAAUGUAAAUAGUCUGGGUGGCCAUUUGAUUAGUUUAGUCAUUCAGCAGUCUUAUGGCUUGGGGGUAGAAGCUGUUAAAGAGCCUUGGCGCUCCGGUACCG